rnacentral:rRNA from 1 species
CACGUAGGGCGCAAGCGUUGUCCGGAAUUAUUGGGCGUAAAGAGCUCGUAGGCGGUCUGUUGCGUCCGCUGUGAAAACUCGGGGCUUAACCCCGAGCCUGCAGUGGAUACGGGCAGACUAGAGGUAGGUAGGGGAGAAUGGAAUUCCCGGUGUAGCGGUGAAAUGCGCAGAUAUCAGGAGGAACACCGGUGGCGAAGGCGGGUCUCUGGGUAGUAACUGACGCUGAGGAACGAAAGCGUGGGUAGCGAACAGG